rnacentral:rRNA from 1 species
GACGAACGCUGGCGGCGUGCUUAACACAUGCAAGUCGAACGGGUCUGCCCUGUUUUUUGCGGGGUGGGUCAGUGGCGAACGGGUGAGUAACACGUGAGUAACCUGCCCCUCACUUCUGGAUAACCGCUUGAAAGGGUGGCUAAUACGGGGUGUUCUGGCUGUGCCGCAUGGUGUGGCUGGGAAAGAUUCACUUUUGUGGUGUUUUGGUGGGGGAUGGGCUCGCGGCCUAUCAGCUUGUUGGUGGGGUGAUGGCCUGCCAAGGCUUUGACGGGUAGCCGGCCUGAGAGGGUGGGCGGUCACACUGGGACUGAGAUACGGCCCAGACUCCUGCGGGAGGCAGCAGUGGGGGGUAUUGCACAAUGGGCGGAAGCCUGAUGCAGCGACGUCGCGUGAGGGAUGGAGGCCUUCGGGUUGUGAACCUCUUUCGCCGGUGAAGAAGGUCCUGCUCUGUGUGGUGGGGUUGACGGUAGCCGGGUUAUGAAGCGCGGCUAACUACGUG